rnacentral:piRNA from 1 species
UAAGGGUGAGGAUUUGGGGAACAU